UUAAAUCGUGCCAGCCGUCGCGGUUAGACGAAGAAUCCAUAUAGAAUGAAUGUUUACAUUAGUUAACGUUCAAUUUUUGAAGUUUCUCUAGCUUUUUUGUUGGGUGAAAUCAGUAUAAGAAGCUCUUUCUUCUUUAAAAAUUAGUAGGAACUAAAAAACUUUGAUUUAAAACCAGGAUUAGAUACCCUGUUAUUCUCAGUUAUUCUUAAACAGGGUAGUAAAAGUUGUUCUUCAAACCCAAAGAUUUUGGCGGCACUUUAUCCAAAUAGAGGAGCUUGUCCCUUAAUCGAUAGUCCUCGUUUUAUCUUUCCUUCAUUUGUAAAGCUUGUAUACCGCCGUUGUCAGAUUACUUUUAGAGAAUGUUUUCAAGUUAAAAUACUUUAUAACUUCAGGUCAAGGUGCAGUUUAUAUGGGGGUGGAGGUGAGCUACAGUUUUCUUUAGAAAAUACGGAUUCUAAGCUUUAAAGCUAGCUGAAGGUGGAUUUACUAGUAAAGUAAUUUAAGUAAAAUUACUUGAAUAAGGCAAUAAAGUGUGUACAUAUCGCCCGUCACUCUCUCCUUAAGGAGAGAUAAGUCGUAACAAAGUAGAUGUACUGGAAAGUGCAUAA
rnacentral:rRNA from 1 species